rnacentral:lncRNA from 13 species
CAGAAAUAUCAUAGGAGAGGGGCCAGGGGAUAAUUUCUAGAGUAUCAGAAUCACAUUUAAGUUCCUUGAGUGAGGUUUUGGAUUCCAGCGGGGGUUUUCAGUAUCUACUUUUUCCCCGGAAAAGCCAGACUGAUAACUUUGGCACUGCAUGUGAUACAGUCUCCUCUGCUCCACUGGCAAACUGCUUCUAGCAAAUAUGUCUUGCUCCGUCACCCAGGCUGAAGUGCAGUGACGUGAUCUUGGCUCACCGUGACCUCUGCCUCCCAGGCUCAAGCAAUUCUUGUGCCUCAGCCACCUGGGUAGCCGGGAUUACAGGGUUUCGCCAUGUUGGCCAGGCUGGUCUCGAACUCCUGGCCUCAACUGAUUUGCCCACCUCAACCUUUAAAAGUGCUGGGAUUACAGGCACGAACCACUGUAUUCAUUAAGCUUUAAGAGGAGAUGAUAAGACUAAAAUGAAAUGACUCAAAAAAAAAUAAAGGUAUCAUAAACUUUAUUUCA